UAACAUUUUGUUUAUGGAAUAGUUGUAAUAUGUACUGAUUUGGAUAUUAAGUGUUCCUUCUCUUAUUUUUUAUUAAAAUGAAAAUUUUAAAUAGUUGUAAUGGGGAUUGGGUGCUGUCAAAACGUAAAAAGUUGAUUUUUUUGUGUGUUUUAGAUACGAAGGAAGUUGAGUUUAAGGAGAAUGUUAGAAUAUGUGUGUAUAUGGGUGAGACUGUCAGUUUUGCAAUGUAAUGUGUUGUAAUUGCUAAUUGAGAAGGAAAGAAGGGCCAAAUGUCUAUAUUUUAUACAGAUUUCAUUUUAAUAAAAAUUAGGAAUCUCUCCCCUCAUUCCAGAGUUUUACUUUAGUCUAGUGUUAGCUUUUCUCUUCAUUUUUCUUCCAUUUUCUCACCGAUUAAAUCACUUUUCCACACCUCCCAUAUCAAGGUUCUCUUCCCCCUUUCUCUCAUUUCAUUUCUCGCUAAAUUCUUCAUCCACCAUCCUCCCACCCCCCAUGACAUUACAAUGCGCUGCCACUAAUUUUAGAUCUCGUCUCUUCUAGCAUGGAAAGAAGAAAUUUGUCCGUUUCAUCACUUUAACUGGAUGUGGAGGCAUUUAAUCUUGGAUUUAAGUGUAAGAGUCCCCUUAAAAUGCUCUCGAUAUUGAAUCCAAGGUCAGGGAGUGGUCGUUCUUGUAAUGUUUUCUGUCAGAUUAUACAACCAAACAUUCGUGUAAGAGUCCCUUUAAAAUGCUCGUGAGAUUGAAUCCAAGGCCAGGGAGUGGUUGUUCUUGUAAUGUUUUCCAUGGGAUUAUACAACCAAAAUUAGGAACCUGGUUGUAACAUUUGAUGGAGAUGGAGCAGUAAUUGUUUACCUGAUGGGCUUUAGUACUUGACAAUUUUAUUUCAAUUAAUAGUUCAGAGCUAGAGAGCACGACAGGGUGGGAAGAGCAGUUAAGAAGAAAUUUGUCCGUUUCAUCACUUUAACUGGAUGUGGAGGCAUUUAAUCUUGGAUUUAAGGGGCCUAAGUCACUUUUCCGUGAGUUGGACAUAAAAGCUCCAUUAAGACAACAAUUAUCCAAUAUAGUUAUUCUGGAGUACCCUAUAAUUUAUGUUUUUCUCCCUUCACAGAGCUAUGAUUUUGUGGUUGAUUCAUAGUCUCACUAGUAGGUCUAUGCUUAGAGAUCCUGUGAGCAAUGACCCUUAAAGUGCAAGUAUUCUGUUCAGGGAAAAGGAAAUAAAAGGUGUUAUCUCUACAAAUCCUCAAGUCUGUGAUAUUAUGAGGCAUGUAAAUCAAGUUCCAUUGCCUGGAAUCCCUAAUGAAACCAAUAUGACUGAGCAGGAAUUGAACAACUUGGAUACACCUUCAUUGACAAGAGUGGCAGCUGACAUCAUAUUAUAUACAAACUCAGAGGUGGAGGAACAAGGAAUGCUAAAAGAUAUGGAGUUUGAUUUUGAUCAAGGCUUAAUAGAUGCAUACAUGGAUCUUAUCGCUGAAAUUAAUCCUGAUGACUUUCUUGGUUUGGAUGAUAUAUUUGCUAAGGAAGCAUGUGGGCAAGAAACAGGAGAUCUUUGAGCAUUCAAAGAGAGAUUAUUUAAGGGAAGAGGAAUUGGAGGAAGGAGAGAUUGCAGAAUGGUUGAUAAUCGUUGUUUUCCUUCAAAAGAAUUUGACCAAAAAAAUAAAGUAUGAAAGAAGGAUCUCCAAAAUGUUUUUGCUUACUUUUCUUGAUCAUAGAGAUUUGAUGCCUCAGGCUCCCACUAGAGGUCAUGAAGUAAAAUCAAAUAUACUGUUGGCAUGAAAUAUAGGGAAAAAAAAUUUUAAAUGCUUACCUUAAGUAUUGAGCGCAAGAAGGCUAUCACAUAUGAAUAUAUAUAUCAACUGUAAUCCGACGGCGAAGUUUAACUGAGACUAUCAGCUCAAGCCUCAAGGCCAUGGUUUUUUAAUCAAAUAUAUUGUUUUCAUUAUUUAUAGAAUUAUUCAUGAUUCUAGUAAUGAAAAGCUACUGUAAAUUCAUUUUCAGAUUACCUUUCAAAAUUUUUUUAGUCACCUUUUCUCAUUCUCUUCCUCAUUCCAUACAAAGAGAACUUUGCAGCCCCAAAUGUCUUGUUUAGCACAUUAUUAACAUUUUCAGUGCCGAUAUAUAGUAUGAAUAUGGUCGUUCAACAUCAAAGCCAAUACACGUUGGAUGCUUUCGUUGAUUGCAUUUGACGGUGCAUAUGAUAUUGGGUUGCCACUCUUAGCACUUAUUAACGUUAUCGUUAAGGAAUCAGGAUGGAUAAAGCGAAGAGUAUUUCAUCUGAAAGGAGGUUGGCCUAGUCCACUGUCAAUAACAUACUUUGAAUAUAUGAUACAAAUGAUCACAAUGGCUACAAUGCGAAUAGUGGUCAUCGAGAGUGGACACUGCAUGAAGGUGUUUCAAUCAAUUUUUUAUUAUACUUUAGUUAAUGUAUCAAACUUAUUUUCAAUGUAUUUAGCUACUCAUUAUAUUUUUAUUGUGAUUGAUGGUUAUAUUUCACAUU